rfam:Phytophthora ramorum strain Pr102 Scaffold696 genomic scaffold, whole genome shotgun sequence.
GGGCACGUAGCUCAAAUGGCAAGAGCACCGCGUUUUUAGCGAACAGACACGGGUUCAAUUUCCAUCGUGUCCA